GCCGUUUCUCUAAUUUCCCCUCUCACAAUCAUCAUCAACCUCCAUUAAUCUUCAAAUGCUUGUUUCAAUAGAUCGGUGUUGGCCACAACCACCGCUCGUCUGUCUCCGGCGACCAAGGUGUUUCCACUCUUUCUUCAAUCCAUUCCAGAACCUGUUUUUGUAGCUUCAUCCUCGUAAGAAAAUGAACAACGUGGCGGGUGUAGGGAUCUCGCAAGGACAUUCGUAGGACAUAGUACGUGUAUGCAAGGUUUGUAAAGGUAUUUGGCUACGAGUGAGGAGACACUAAGAAUAACCACCUAGUCAAGAGGCAAUUUCUAUUUCAGUCUAAGUUGGAUUUUGUUAUUUAUUUUAUGGGUUUUGGUUGUAACUUUUUAUGGGCCACCUUUUAGACCACUUGGUUAAUUUUGACUUUAAUAGUUUUAAAUUGUUUUGUUGCUUUGCAUUUAUUUUCUAUGGAGAAUAAAUGUAGCAGUGACACUCCCAAGGUUUGGACGGUUGUUUUAUGAAAUAAUAAGAGGGUUUUUGAUUAUAUAAAAAGGUCUAAAUUUUGGGGGUGUUAUAGUGAGUCUUGAAAUGAACCUACUGAUAUAUUGUAGUCUGCCGAGAAAACCCCAAAUU